AUCCAAAUCACAAGUCCCGAAUAGGACGAAACGCGCGUCCUGGGU
rnacentral:hammerhead_ribozyme from 1 species